GUGGGGAAUCUUGCGCAAUGGGCGAAAGCCUGACGCAGCCAUGCCGCGUGAAUGAUGAAGGUCUUAGGAUUGUAAAAUUCUUUCACCGGGGACGAUAAUGACGGUACCCGGAGAAGAAGCCCCGGCUAACUUCGUGCCAGCAGCCGCGGUAAUACGAAGGGGGCUAGCGUUGCUCGGAAUUACUGGGCGUAAAGGGCGCGUAGGCGGACAGUUUAGUCAGAGGUGAAAGCCCAGGGCUCAACCUUGGAAUUGCCUUUGAUACUGGCUGUCUUGAGUACGGGAGAGGUGAGUGGAACUCCGAGUGUAGAGGUGAAAUUCGUAGAUAUUCGGAAGAACACCAGUGGCGAAGGCGACUCACUGGCCCGUUACUGACGCUGAGGCGCGAAAGCGUGGGGAGCGGACGGGAUUAGAAACCCGGGUAGUCC
rnacentral:rRNA from 1 species